CCCUUAGAUGUCCUGGGCCGCACGCGCGCUACACUGAUGCAUGCAACGAGUUUCAUUUCUCCUGGGUCGAGAGGCCCGGGUAAUCUGUUGAACGUGCAUCGUGAUAGGGAUAGAUCAUUGCAAUUAUUGAUCUUGAACGAGGAAUUCCUAGUAAACGCGAGUCAUCAGCUCGCAUUGAUUACGUCCCUGCCCUUUGUACACACCGCCCGUCGCACCUACCGAUUGAAUGGUUCGGUGAAGAUCUCGGACUUCGAUAUUUAUUCUUUAUUGAGUUUAUAUUGUGGGAAGUUAUCUAAACCUCAUCAUUUAGAGGAAGGUGAAGUCGUAACA
rnacentral:rRNA from 1 species